ACUAGCCAUAACCCGGAUGGCCGCGGCAGCUUAAAUACACGCAACGCCCACCCGAUGCGACGGAAAGACAGACGGAAGACACGUUUUCACUUUGCCUUUUUCUAUCAUCAGAUCCGAAACGACGACAUAUCAUGGCAUCGAAACGUAGAAGAACUGUAAUAACUGUAGCGGAGCGAGUAAAAUGCAUCCGUUUGAGCGAGGCUGGACACAAAGU